UACGUAGGGGGCAAGCGUUGUCCGGAAUCAUUGGGCGUAAAGAGCGUGUAGGCGGUCCGAUAAGUCCGCUCUGAAAGCCCGGGGCUCAACCCCGGGAGGCGGGCGGAUACUGUCGGGCUAGAGUCCGGAAGAGGCAAGUGGAAUUCCUGGUGUAGCGGUGAAAUGCGCAGAUAUCAGGAGGAACACCGGUGGCGAAGGCGGGUCUCUGGGCCGAUACUGACGCUGAGGAGCGAAAGCGUGGGGAGCGAACAGG
rnacentral:rRNA from 1 species